GAUGAACGCUAGCGGCAGGCUUAAUACAUGCAAGUCGAGGGACAGCACAGGUAGCAAUACUGGGUGGUAACCGGCAAACGGGUGCGGAACACGUACACAACCUUCCUUUAAGUGGGGGAUAGCCCAGAGAAAUUUGGAUUAAUACCCCGUAAUAUAGUUGAAUGGCAUCAUUUGAUUAUUAUAGCUACGGCGCUUAAUGAUGGGUGUGCGGCUGAUUAGAUAGUUGGCGGGGUAACGGCCCACCAAGUCUACGAUCAGUAGCUGAUGUGAGAGGAUGAUCAGCCACACGGGCACUGAGACACGGGCCCGACUCCUACGGGAGGCAGCAGUAAGGAAUAUUGGUCAAUGGACGCAAGUCUGAACCAGCCAUGCCGCGUGAAGGAUUAAGGUCCUCUGGAUUGUAAACUUCUUUUAUUAGGGACGAAAAAGGGCCUUUCUAGGUCAACUGACGGUACCAGAUGAAUAAGCACCGGCUAACUCCGUGCCAGCCGCCGCCGUAAGAC
rnacentral:rRNA from 1 species